rnacentral:rRNA from 1 species
AACGAACGCUGGCGGCAUGCCUAACACAUGCAAGUCGAACGAGACCUUCGGGUCUAGUGGCGCACGGGUGCGUAACGCGUGGGAACCUGCCCUUAGGUUCGGAAUAACUCCCCGAAAGGGGUGCUAAUACCGGAUAAUGUCUUCGGACCAAAGAUUUAUCGCCUUUGGAUGAGCCCGCGUUGGAUUAGCUAGUUGGUAGGGUAAAAGCCUACCAAGGCGACGAUCCAUAGCUGGUCUGAGAGGAUGAUCAGCCACACUGGGACUGAGACACGGCCCAGACCCCUACGGGGGGCAGGAGGGGGGAAAAUUGGACAAGGGGCGAAAGCCUGAUCCAGCAAUGCCGGGUGGGUGAUGAAGGCCUUAGGGUUGUAAAGCUCUUUUACCCGGGAUGAUAAUGACAGUACCGGGAAAAUAAGCCCCGGCUAACUCCGU